rnacentral:rRNA from 1 species
UCCACGCCGUAAACGAUGCGCACUAGGUAUGGGAGGCUCUGACGCCGACCGUGCCGAAGCAAAAGUGUUAAGUGCGCCGCCUGGGGAGUACGGCCGCAAGGCUAAAACUCAAAGGAAUUGACGGGGGCUCACACAAGCGGUGGAGCAUGUGGAUUAAUUCGAAGCAACGCGAAGAACCUUACCUGGGUUUGACAUGUAUGGAUGCUCUCUUUGAAAGAGGAGCAGGCUGCCCU